GCAUCGAUGAAGAACGUAGCAAAGUGCGAUAACUAGUGUGAAUUGCAUAUUCAGUGAAUCAUCGAGUCUUUGAACGCAACUUGCGCUCAUUGGUAUUCCAAUGAGCACGCCUGUUUCAGUAUCAAAACAAACCCUCUAUCCAGCAUUUUGUUGAAUAGGAAUACUGAGAGUCUCCUGAUCUAUUCUGAUCUCGAACCUCUUGAAAUGUACAAAGGCCUGAUCUUGUUUAAAUGCCUGAACUUUUUUUUAAUAUAAAGAGAAGCUCUUGCGGUAAACUGUGCUGGGGCCUCCCAAAUAAUACUCUUUUUAAAUUUGAUCUGAAAUCAGGCGGGAUUACCCGCUGAACUUAAGCAUAUCAAUAAGCGGAGGA
rnacentral:rRNA from 1 species